rnacentral:rRNA from 1 species
CAGCAGCCGCGGUAAUACGGAGGGUGCAAGCGUUGAUCGGAAUUACUGGGCUUAAAGGGCGCGUAGGCGGUUUUGAAAGUCAGAUGUGAAAUUCCGGGGCUCAACCCGGGAGCGGCAUCCGAAACUUCAAGGCUAGAGGUCAGUUAGGGCAAACGGAAUUCCACGUGUAGCGGUGAAAUGCGUAGAUAUGUGGAAGAACACCAGUGGUGAAGACCGUUUUCUGGGCUGAUACUGACGCUGAGGCGCGAAAGCCAGGGGAGCAAACAGGAUUAGAUACCCUGGUAGUCCUUGCCGUAAACGAUGCAUACUUAGGUGUGGGGAGGCUCUGACCCUUCUGUAUCCCGAACUAACACCUUAAGUUGCCCCCCUGGGGAGUACCUCGCCAGAGUUGAAACUCAAAGGAAUU